GAAAAAUUCACCGCCAUCACAAAAAUUAUUGAGGUUCUCUAUUAAGUUGUUCACCAGCCAAAGCAACAGGAGAAUAUCGAUACCGUCUCCGUUCAAAGAAUUAACUUCGAGUCCUUUACAAUCAAGUAACAUAUCAUUACAGGAGGAAAAGGAACAAGAAUUUGAUUUUAAUUUCGACAGAAUUUUCUAUCAAGGAUCGGAGCAAGUUGAUCUAGGCGUUGUAUGAUUAGGAAUGAGGAAUGACGUUAUUCAAGAUAAGGUAAGAGUGGAUUUGGUGGUGGACAAGAUGACGAAAGCAAGUUAUAUUGAUAAAAUUUGAUUUGUUUUGCAUUGAUUUGGUACGUAUCUUGAAAGCGAAUGAAAUGAUUAUAAGACAUAAUUGAUGAACGAAACAUUGAAGGCAAAUUAAUUUUAGAGGCUUUGUAUUGAUUAAUCGGUGCUAUGUAUCAAAUAAGAAACAUUUAUGAUGGAUUGAAGUUGAAGAAUCAACAUUGAUUUAUGGUUAAACUGAGGUUUGUUAUUGCCACUGAAAUCUGGAUGUAGGUUGUAGUUUUAUUCUCUACAUGUAUAUCUCCUUCUCUAUCUAAACCUCCUUUGUUCAUGAGGUUUAGCAUUCUUUUUUUUUUUUGUCAUCUGCAUAUAUUUUUGUGUAUCUAUUUUCUUUACAUGUAAAUUAUGUACACAUAAUUUAAGAAAUAACAAGAAAUAAUGAAUUUCUUAGUU